UCAUGUGGAGUUUAUCAUUGGUGCAUUCUCCUUCCUUAGCUUAUUUGGAAAAUCUAGGAAUUUUUUUCUUCUUAGAUUUCCAAAUAAGCUAAGGUGGGUGUUAUGCGCCAUCAGUGCUGGAUUUUCCAAAUCAGCUUAUUUUCAUUUUCAUGGGGUUAGCAUCUGGUUGGAAAGUAGGAAACCUGGAUGUUCCCAGUUUUUUCUUCCAAGGAUAGCUUCCUCAGGUUUUGGCAUUUCUGAGAAUGGCACAAGCCUUGACUAUUCUACUUAUUUAACAUUAGAAUAAGAUGUGAGAUAUGAAUACAUUUCUCUAUAUUUGCUUUUUAAAAAUUAGUGUUGCUUGUUACCUGGUUUGCUAUUUUGUUAGCUUAGUUGUUAAACUUAAAAUGUCUGGUUCUGGUAGUUGUAAUCUUUAGAAAGCGGUCACAAUCAUCUCUGCUGAAUGCUAAACAUGAGUUAUUAAUGCCAUUCUCUCACAGGAUAGGUCUCAAAUGCUGAACAUUUUCUCACUGGUGUAGUUAUGUAGCAGCAGUGCACUGGACAACAAGAUAGCACACAUUUCAAAAGUCUAUAAGGAGGAGGAAGCAGACAAACAUAUGAAGAGUGUUGAUUCAACUUGUUUAUUCUUAUCUACAGCUUCCACUUCCAUGUAGAAACUUUUAUCAAUGAAUUUGUUUCUCUAGAGUGGGACUACUACUACUACUUGUCAGAUCCAGUUAUUGAGAUGAGCUCAUUUGUUAAAAGAGGCAGUGUUGAUGACAUUAUCACCAACUUCCCUAAGACAGCUGAUAGAUAGAUGUACUAGUAUGUGGAAAUUGAUGUGUAGACUUUGCUUCUUGAACAUGCUUUCUAGAUUGUUUCUAGUUACAAUCAGUAUUACAUUCAUUUGAGUUAAUUAUUUGGACAUGAUUAAUUCCAACUCUUAUAUGAGCCAGAGAUGAAUAUGCAUAAUCAGUUGACAA